rfam:Trametes pubescens strain FBCC735 TRAPTBscaffold_1672, whole genome shotgun sequence.
AAGGGGUUAGCUUAGUUGGUUAAAGCAGUAAUCUUACACAUUAUUGACCGGGAGUUCGAAUCCCCCACCCCUUA